GACGAACGCUGGCGGCGUGCCUAAUACAUGCAAGUCGAACGCAGUGGGGACGGGUGAGUAACACGUGGGUAACCUCCCAUCAGAGGGGAUAACACUUGGAAACAGGUGCUAAACCGAUACUGAUGGAUGAACCCGCGGGGGCUUAGCUAGUUGGUGAGGUAACGGCUCAACAGGGCCACGAUGCAUAGCCGAGCUGAGAGGAUGAGCGGCCAAACUGGGACUGAGACACGGCCUAGACUCCUACGGGAGGCAGCAGUAGGGAAUCUUCGGCAAGGGACGAAAGUCUGACCGAGCAACGCCGCGGGAGUGAAGAAGGGUUGCGGAUCGUAAAACUCUGUUGUUAGAGAAGCGGUAUCUAGCCAGAAAGCCACGGCUAACUACGUGCCAGCAGCCGCGGUAAUAC
rnacentral:rRNA from 1 species